rnacentral:rRNA from 1 species
CAAGGUCUCCGUUGGUGAACCAGCGGAGGGAUCAUUGCUGGAACGCGCUUCGGCGCACCCAGAAACCCUUUGUGAACUUAUACCUUACUGUUGCCUCGGCGCAGGCCGGCCUCUCCACCGAGGCCCCUCUGAGAGGAGGAGCAGCCCGCCGGCGGCCAACUAAACUCUUGUUUCUUAGUGAAUCUCUGAGUAAAAAAACAUAAUGAAUCAAAACUUUCAACAACGGAUCUCUUGGUUCUGGCAUCGAUGAAGAACGCAGCGAAAUGCGAUAAGUAAUGUGAAUUGCAGAAUUCAGUGAAUCAUCGAAUCUUUGAACGCACAUUGCGCCCUCUGGUAUUCCGGAGGGCAUGCCUGUUCGAGCGUCAUUUCAACCCUCAAGCACUGCUUGGUGUUGGGGCACCGCCUGUGAAAGGGCGGGCCCUGAAAUCUAGUGGCGAGCUCGCCAGGACCCCGAGCGUAGUAGUUACAUCUCGCUCUGGAAGGCCCUGGCGGUGCCCUGCCGUUAAACCCCCAACUUCUGAAAUUUUGACCUCGGAUCAGGUAGGAAUACCCGCUGAACUUAAGCA